CAACCUGAGAGUUUGAUCCUGGCUCAGAGCGAACGCUGGCGGCAGGCCUAACACAUGCAAGUCGAACGGACCCUUCGGGGUUAGUGGCGGACGGGUGAGUAACACGUGGGAACGUGCCUUUAGGUUCGGAAUAGCUCCUGGAAACGGGUGGUAAUGCCGAAUGUGCCCUUCGGGGGAAAGAUUUAUCGCCUUUAGAGCGGCCCGCGUCUGAUUAGCUUGUUGGUGAGGUAAUGGCUCACCAAGGCUACGAUCAGUAGCUGGUCUGAGAGGAUGACCAGCCACAUUGGGACUGAGACACGGCCCAAACUCCUACGGGAGGCAGCAGUGGGGAAUCUUGCGCAAUGGGCGAAAGCCUGACGCAGCCAUGCCGCGUGUAUGAUGAAGGUCUUAGGAUUGUAAAAUACUUUCACCGGUGAAGAUAAUGACUGUAGCCGGAGAAGAAGCCCCGGCUAACUUCGUGCCAGCAGCCGCGGUAAUACGAAGGGGGCUAGCGUUGCUCGGAAUUACUGGGCGUAAAGGGAGCGUAGGCGGACAUUUAAGUCAGAGGUGAAAUCCCGGUGCUUAACUUCGGAACUGCCUUUGAUACAGGGUGUCU
rnacentral:rRNA from 1 species